GAUGAACGCUGGCUACAGGCUUAACACAUGCAAGUCGAGGGGAAACGACGGGGAAGCUUGCUUCCCCGGGCGUCGACCGGCGCACGGGUGAGUAACGCGUAUCCAACCUGCCUCUGACUGAGGGAUAACCCGUCGAAAGUCGGCCUAAUACCUCAUGGCAUCGUCUGCGGGCAUCCAACGACGAUUAAAGAUUUCAUCGGUCAGGGAUGGGGAUGCGUCUGAUUAGCUUGUUGGCGGGGUAACGGCCCACCAAGGCUACGAUCAGUAGGGGUUCUGAGAGGAAGGCCCACCACAUUGGAACUGGGACACGGCCAAAACUCCUACGGGAGGCAGGAGGGAGGAAUAUUGGUCAAGGGGGGGGACCCUGAACCAGCCAGGUAGCGUGCAGGAGGACGGCCCUUUGGGUUUAAAACUGUUUUUAUGGGGGGAAAAAGGGGGGGACGUUCCCUUCAUGGCGGGAACCCAAUAAAAAAGGACCGGCUAAUUCCGU
rnacentral:rRNA from 1 species